UACGUAGGGUGCGAGCGUUGUCCGGAAUUAUUGGGCGUAAAGAGCUUGUAGGCGGUCUGUCGCGUCUGCUGUGAAAUCCGGGGCUCAACCCCGGACUUGCAGUGGGGUACGGGCAGACUAGAGUGUGGUAGGGGGAGACUGGAAUUCCUGGUGAUAGCGGUGAAAUGCGCAGAUAUUGGGAGGAACACCUGCGGCGAAGGCGGCUACCUGGACAGAAACUGGACGC
rnacentral:rRNA from 1 species